AGGUCAAGUGAAGAAGGGCGCACGGUGAAUGCCUUGGCACUGGAAGCCGAUGAAGGACGCGACUAACCGCGAAAGUCUUCGGGGAGCCGUAAGUAGGCUUUGAUCCGGAGGUCUCCGAAUGGGGGAACCCAGCAUGUGCAGACAUGCUAUCCUUAAGUGAAUACAUAGCUUAAGGAGGGAACACGCAGUGAACUGAAACAUCUAAGUAGCUGCAGGAAGAGAAAGAAAUAUCGAUUUCCCAAGUAGCGGCGAGCGAACAGGAAAGAGCCCAAACCGGCAGAUUUAUCUGCCGGGGUUGUAGGACUGAGACAUGGCACUUCAGAGGAUAGCAGAAGCGUUUGGGAAAGCGCGCCAGAGAGGGUGAGAGCCCCGUAAGCGAAAUCCAAAGAAGGCCUAUCAGUAUCCUGAGUAGGGCGGGACACGUGAAAUCCCGUUUGAAUCCGCGAGGACCAUCUCGCAAGGCUAAAUACUAACCAGUGACCGAUAGUGAACCAGUACCGUGAGGGAAAGGUGAAAAGAACCCCGGGAGGGGAGUGAAAGAGAACCUGAAACCGUGUGCCUACAAGUAGUCAGAGCCCGUUAACGGGUAAUGGCGUGCCUUUUGUAGAAUGAACCGGCGAGUUGCGUUAGUCAGCAAGGUUAAGUCAGAAAAGACGGAGCCGUAGCGAAAGCGAGUCUGAAGAGGGCGAGCAGUUGGCUGACGCAGACCCGAAACCAAGUGACCUACCCAUGACCAGGUUGAAGGCGCGGUAAAACGCGCUGGAGGACCGAACCCACGUAAGUUGAAAAUUGCGGGGAUGAGUUGUGGGUAGCGGUGAAAUUCCAAACGAACUUGGAGAUAGCUGGUUCUCUCCGAAAUAGCUUUAGGGCUAGCCUCGCAAAGAGGAUGCUGGAGGUAGAGCUCUGUUUGGACUAGGGGCCCGUCAAGGGUUACUGAAUUCAGAUAAACUGCGAAUUCCAGACAUUUAUGUGCGGGAGUCAGACUGCGAGUGAUAAGAUCCGUAGUCGAAAGGGAAACAGCCCAGAUCACCAGUUAAGGUCCCAAAAUUCAUGCUAAGUGGAAAAGGAUGUGGAGUUGCGCAGACAACUAGGACGUUGGCUCAGAAGCAGCCAUCAUUCAAAGAGUGCGUAAUAGCUCACUAGUCGAGUGACGCCGCGCCGAAAAUUUACCGGGGCUAAGCAUGAUACCGAAACUGUGGAUGUGCGUUUAUGCACGUGGUAGGAGAGCGUUCUAGCGGCGGUGAAGCAUGAC
rnacentral:rRNA from 1 species